UCCGUAGGUGAACCUGCGGAAGGAUCAUUACCGAGUGAGGGCCCUCUGGGUCCAACCUCCCACCCGUGUUUAUUUUACCUUGUUGCUUCGGCGGGCCCGCCUUAACUGGCCGCCGGGGGGCUUACGCCCCCGGGCCCGCGCCCGCCGAAGACACCCUCGAACUCUGUCUGAAGAUUGAAGUCUGAGUGAAAAUAUAAAUUAUUUAAAACUUUCAACAACGGAUCUCUUGGUUCCGGCAUCGAUGAAGAACGCAGCGAAAUGCGAUACGUAAUGUGAAUUGCAAAUUCAGUGAAUCAUCGAGUCUUUGAACGCACAUUGCGCCCCCUGGUAUUCCGGGGGGGCAUGCCUGUCCGAGCGUCAUUGCUGCCCUCAAGCCCGGCUUGUGUGUUGGGCCCCGUCCCCCGAUCUCCGGGGGACGGGCCCGAAAGGCAGCGGCGGCACCGCGUCCGGUCCUCGAGCGUAUGGGGCUUUGUCACCCGCUCUGUAGGCCCGGCCGGCGCUUGCCGAUCAACCCAAAUUUUUAUCCAGGUUGACCUCGGAUCAGGUAGGGAUACCCGCUGAACUUAAGCAUAUCAAUAAGCGGAGGAAAU
rnacentral:rRNA from 1 species